rnacentral:rRNA from 1 species
UAGGGAAUAUUGGGCAAUGGGCGAAAGCCUGACCCAGCAACGCCGCGUGCGCGAUGAAGGUCUUCGGAUCGUAAAGCGCUUUUCUGAGAGAUGAGAAAGGACAGUAUCUCAGGAAUAAGUCUCGGCUAACUACGUGCCAGCAGCCGCGGUAACACGUAGGAGGCAAGCGUUAUCCGGAUUUACUGGGUGUAAAGCGCGUGCAGGCGGUUCGGUAAGUUGGAUGUGAAAGCUCCUGGCUCAACUGGGAGAGGUCGUUCAAUACUACCGGACUUGAGAACAGUAGAGGGAGGUGGAAUUCCCGGUGUAGUGGUGAAAUGCGUAGAUAUCGGGAGGAACACCAGUGGCGAAAGCGGCCUCCUGGACUGUUUCUGACGCUCAGACGCGAAAGCUAGGGUAGCAA